GCCAGAGCUCCCGAGACCCCUGGAGGCCCUCGAGGACCCGGAGGGCCAGGAGGGCCUGGAGGGCCAGGGAUGGAGGACACGCCAGCAGCUGAAUGGGAGGCCAGAGAAAGAGAAAGCUGAAAGCACCUCAGAAGCAAGGGUGUUGCUCUCCAGGACCUAGCCCUGUAUGUGCUUUAAGAGGACCGGGUGACUGGCCCAACAGCUUCACCCUCUCUGGCUGCCCUCCUCCCUGAGCCUUACUGUGCAGGUAAGAAGAGAGGUCUUCCACGCUGAUGCUGGACCACACGUUGCCUGGGAUGCCUGGGAUCCCUGGGGGCCCAGGGGGGCCGGGGGGCCCAAUGAUGCCUCUGUAUUCAGACCCUGAGACACCAAAGAAGAGGCCAGAGUCCGUGGGGGGUCUGGGCCAAGGGCCUCUGCCUUCCAUCCCCAAGCCACGUGGACAGAUGGCUCCUGAUCAGCCUUACCUUGAAGCAAGGAGAGGAGCUCUUCAUAGGAUGUUCCUGGCAAGCCAGGGGGUCCCGGAGGGCCAGGAAGCCCAAUGCUGAUUCCAGAGCCUGAGGAACAAGACCCCAAGUUGUGACAUUCACACUGCAUGGGUGUGUGCGAGUUGUGUGUGAACUCCGUACAGGACAGUGGCCUAGCCACUCACUCCUGGCUUCCCUGGCCGGGCUUAGCGGGUGACCUGCUCUGGGGCCACAGGUGGGAAUGGCUCUGAACACGGCCCAGUCCUCCUGGGCUUGGUGCCACCUGGCAGGGGAACAUCAGGGGCCAGUGCAGACAAGUUCAGUGCCUUCCCCACCCCCACCCCCACCCCCACCCCGCGCCGCCCUGCCAGGGCCCUGCUGACCGUCUGCCUGCAGGGGGCAGGCCUGGAGGGCAGACACUCACUGGACAUGUAGCUGAGAACGCGACUGCUCAGCUCGGCGUAGUCCAAAGACUGGAGGGACCAAUCUCCAACCAGAUACUGGCGCAGAUAUUGCCUCACGUCAUCCCCUGCAAGGACAGGCUGCACUGGCGUGGGCCCCCCAGGCCACAGGGCUCCCGCACCACCACGCGGCCAUAGCUAGGUCCGCCCCCACAGGCUGGCCCCAGAGUUCUGGGGUCUCAGUCCACAGAGGGGAGCUUCCAGGUACCCAAUAAGGCACCUGCUGGUUACCUAGCACUGGGGACGGGGACAUCUGCUGCCCUCGUACCCCGGAGUAUGGACUCAAGGGGCCAGGAUGGAGGAGGGGCACCUCCUCCCUCUGCAGCCCUCACUGGGUUCAGCUCAGACCUGGACCAGCUGUGCCUCCAGAGCCCCCACCUACAAGCCCACGCUACAGGCACUCACGUUUCAGCACAGCCACGAUGUCCUCAGAGGAGAUGGAGGUGGAGGAGCUGAUGCUGUACCCCGAGGCUGUGGGGAAGGAGACUGUGUUACCCGCUCGGCAAGACUGAAGCACCCCCUCUCCCCGCUGCGAUCCCACUAGGACCGGCCAGCCAGCCGGUCCACUUGCGGAAAUGAAUCAUCGGGGGCGGGAGGGGCUAUUGGGGAUGCGUGGAAAAAAAACAAAGAUGGUUUUGGUUUUGUGUUUGUUUUGUUGGGUAAGAAAUGAAGUUUGUCUUCCAGAGUAUGCUUUAGCCCAACUCCUGCCAGAUCCCGCCAAUCUUGUUCCCUUUUCAAAUCC